rnacentral:rRNA from 1 species
UACGGAAGGCAGCAGUGGGGAAUAUUGCACAAUGGGCGCAAGCCUGAUGCAGCCAUGCCGCGUGUAUGAAGGAAGGCCUUCGGGUUGUAAAGUACUUUCAGUCGUGAGGAAGGUGUUAAGGUUAAUAACCUUAGCAAUUGACGUUAGCGACAGAAGAAGCACCGGCUAACUCCGUGCCAGCAGCCGCGGUAAUACGGAGGGUGCGAGCGUUAAUCGGAAUUACUGGGCGGUAAACGGGCACGCAGGCGGUUAAUUAAGUUGGAUGUGAAAUCCCCGGGCUUAACCUGGGAAUGGCAUUCAAGACUGGUUAGCUAGAGUCUUGUAGAGGGGGUAGAAUUCCAUGUGUAGCGGUGAAAUGCGUAGAGAUGUGGAGGAAUACCGGUGGCGAAGGCGGCCCCUGGACAAAGACUGACGCUCAUGUGCGAAAGCGUGGGGAGCAAACAGGGAUUAGAUACC